rnacentral:rRNA from 1 species
ACGCUCGACACCUACGGGAGGCAGCAGUUGGGAAUAUUGGACAAUGGAGGAAACUCUGAUCCAGUGACGCCGCGUGAAGGAAGAAGGUCUUCGGAUUGUAAACUUAUUUUGUCAGGGGAAAGAAAAAAAUGACUGUACCUGAAGAAAAAGCACCGGCUAACUACGUACCAGCAGCCGCGGUAAUCUGAGCGGGCUGGCAAGGC